rnacentral:lncRNA from 1 species
AUCCCAAAUAGAUAACAGGGAAAAGCGUAUCUAGUUCCAUGGUCUUUUACACUACACACCUCCUUUUGGGAAGUGGGUGGGGACAGCAUCCCCUCUGUUCAUUAUUUUGACCAGCAGCGAGCAGUGGGGACGGCGUUCUGCGGGUCCAGCUGCUCUGCAGCGUCGUGGUUGGACAGCUCCCUGCCGCCCUCCAGGACAUGACAGGGCCUCGCGCGUGGACAGGCUGAAUCUGCAGACAGGCAGCUUCCACAGGAAGAGGCGCACCGGAGACUGCUGCGGGCGUGGCUCAUGGAACGUGCAGUGUCCGGGGACGAGGGGAAGGCAGCUCUGGGCAGUGGAGAGCUCUGCAUUCGAAGCCGACAAGAAACACGUGCUCUGCCUGGGGACGCAGGAGUCGAAAGAACACUCUAGUUGUUUUGUGGAAGUGGACCACAUGUGGGCAGAGAGAUGGAAGCAGAGUGAGGUCUGCUGGGAGACUGAUGCUGUGCUCCAGGAGAUAGCACUGGGAGAUGGAAAGAAUGUUGGCUUUGGAAUUGGCUAAACCCGGGUUCAAAUCCCAACGCUUCCACUUCACCGCUUCUUGACCUUGGUUAUGUUUCUUAUUUUCUCUGAGCCUCAGUGUUUUCCUCAAUAAAAUGGAGAUGAUUCUGACUUCACAAGGCUCUUGGGAGAAUUAAAUGAGGACACACGCCGGCUUCUUGGCCCAGGCCUGAGCGCCACGUGGGCACCUCAAAUGUGCUCAGUUCCCCUCCCUCCUGUGCUUGACCAACCCCCUUUCCUGCCCGUACUUUCCCCGGUGGGUCAGCUGUGCCCACCUCCGCCUUCUCUCCCAUCUGCUUCCUGGGCAGCUGGCUCCCCCACCUGCAGCCUUUCUCUCCUGGGACCUGCCCACAAAUUACCCUCCCCACUGUCCCGGAACCUUCGGCAGUCUCUCCUUGUUACUCAUAAGCAGCACAAGCUGUGAAAGCAACAAGCUGUGAAAUGGGUGGUCUCAGCCCCGUGGAGAGGGACCUAAAGUACUGGUUCGGUUUAGUCCCUGCUUUUGCGCAUGCACGCACUCCUUUACGGGGGCAGGCCUCGUGCUAGCGCUGGGGACACAAAGCUGUGUGUCCCCGUGGUUCUCAUCUCCUGCAGGUGACUAAUUCCACCAGGCCACUGCUUUCUGUCUGCUCAUGGGCUUUCCUGCCACGCUGAUUUCCAGCCGCACGCUGCGGCCUUGACCUCUCGGCAGGUGAUGCAAGCAGGAACCAGUCCGGGGAUGAGAGAACGCCAGGAUUCCCGCGCCGCCUCCCCGAGAAAGGACACGCUUCCUGCCCUACCUCUCGGGCAUAUUUUUGGGCUCAGUGCAAUCCACUCAGUGGAUUCCCUCCACGCCCUGUCUUGCCA